UUGAACGCUGGCGGCAGGCCUAACACAUGCAAGUCGCACGGUAGCACAGAGAGCUUGCUCUCGGGUGACGAGUGGCGGACGGGUGAGUAAUGUCUGGGAAACUGCCCGAUGGAGGGGGAUAACUACUGGAAACGGUAGCUAAUACCGCAUAAUGUCGCAAGACCAAAGAGGGGGACCUUCGGGCCUCUUGCCAUCGGAUGUGCCCAGAUGGGAUUAGCUUGUUGGUGAGGUAAUGGCUCACCAAGGCGACGAUCCCUAGCUGGUCUGAGAGGAUGACCAGCCACACUGGAACUGAGACACGGUCCAGACUCCUACGGGAGGCAGCAGUGGGGAAUAUUGCACAAUGGGCGCAAGCCUGAUGCAGCCAUGCCGCGUGUGUGAAGAAGGCCUUCGGGUUGUAAAGCACUUUCAGCGGGGAGGAAGGCGAUACGGUUAAUAACCGUGUUGAUUGACGUUACCCGCAGAAGAAGCACCGGCUAACUCCGUG
rnacentral:rRNA from 1 species